AUUGAACGCUGGCGGCAGGCCUAACACAUGCAAGUCGAACGGUAACAGGAAGAAGCUUGCUUCUUUGCUGACGAGUGGCGGACGGGUGAGUAAUGUCUGGGAAACUGCCUGAUGGAGGGGGAUAACUACUGGAAACGGUAGCUAAUACCGCAUAACGUCGCAAGACCAAAGAGGGGGACCUUCGGGCCGCUUGCCAUUGGAUGUGCCCAGGUGGGAUUAGCUAGUAGGUGGGGGAACGGCUCACCUAGGCGACGAUCCCUAGCUGGUCUGAGAGGAUGACCAGCCACACUGGAACUGAGACACGGUCCAGACUCCUACGGGAGGCAGCAGUGGGGAAUCUUGCACAAUGGGCGCAAGCCUGAUGCAGCCAUGCCGCGUGUAUGAAGAAGGCCUUCGGGUUGUAAAGUACUUUCAGCGGGGAGGAAGGGAGUAAUGUUAAUACCUUUACUCAUUGACGUUACCCGCAGAAGAAGCCCCGGCUAACUACGUG
rnacentral:rRNA from 1 species